rnacentral:rRNA from 1 species
GACGAAGGGGGCUCGCGUUGUUCGGAAUUACUGGGCGUAAAGCGCGCGUAGGCGGUCUUUCAAGUCAGGAGUGAAAGCCCCGGGCUCAACCCGGGAAUAGCUCUUGAUACUGUUGGACUUGAGUCCGGGAGAGGAUAGUGGAAUUCCCAGUGUAGAGGUGAAAUUCGUAGAUAUUGGGAAGAACACCAGUGGCGAAGGCGGCUAUCUGGACCGGUACUGACGCUGAGGCGCGAAAGCGUGGGGAGCAAACAGG